UACGUAGGCAGCGAGCGUUGUUUGGAGUUACUGGGCGUAAAGAGUGCGUAGGCGGUUUUCUAAGUUUGGUGUGAAAUCUCCCGGCUUAACUGGGAGGGUGCGCCGAGGACUGGAAGGCUUGAGUAUGGGAGAGGUAAGCGGAAUUCCUGGUGUAGCGGUGAAAUGCGUAGAUAUCAGGAGGAACACCUGCGGUGUAGACGGCUUACUGGACCAUCACUGACGCUGAGGCACGAAAGCGUGGGGAGCGAACAGG
rnacentral:rRNA from 1 species